AUGUUCAUGCACCAGAGAGCUGCUCGUCGUGCUGGGAGACCGUUGAUCCGCUAUGGUCCAUUGUUUCCCCGGGAACAGGAGAGGAUCCAAAAUCUGAACUACAUCUACAACUGCAAUGACGUCGAGGCUCUGUGGAUGCUUAGAAUGAAAAGAGCAUCAUUUGCCAGGCUUGUCGAGACCUUCAGGAGCAGGGGCCUGUUACAAGAUAGCAUCAACACCAGUGUCGAAGAGCAAGUGGCCAUGUUCCUCCAUGUUGUUGGCCAUAAUCAGAGGUUCAGGGUCAUUCACAACAUGUUCAGGAGGUCAAUGGAGACCAUCUCUAGGUACUUCAAGCAGGUGCUUUUUGCUGUUGGGGAGCUUAGAGGAGAGAUGAUCAGGAGACCAUCUGGCCAGACUCCACCAAAGAUUCGCGGAAGCCUAAGAUGGUAUCCAUACUUCAAGUUCAGCACUAACACAGGCUAG
rnacentral:rRNA from 1 species